GAAUUCGGCUCUAGAGAGGUUUG
rnacentral:miRNA from 1 species